rnacentral:rRNA from 1 species
GUGAGGAAUAUUGGUCAAUGGGCGGCAGCCUGAACCAGCCAUCCCGCGUGAAGGAAGAAUGCGCUAUGCGUUGUAAACUUCUUUUCCAGAGGAAUAAAGUUGAGUACGAGUACUCAAUUGAAGGUACUCUGGGAAUAAGCAUCGGCUAACUCCGUGCCAGCAGCCGCGGUAAUACGGAGGAUGCGAGCGUUAUCCGGAUUUAUUGGGUUUAAAGGGUGCGUAGGCGGGUAAUUAAGUCAGUGGUGAAACCCUGCAGCUUAACUGUAGACUUGCCAUUGAUACUGAUAAUCUUGAGUAUGGUCAAGGCAGGCGGAAUGUGUAAUGUAGCGGUGAAAUGCUUAGAUAUUACACAGAACACCGAUAGCGAAGGCAGCUUGCUGGGCCUGUACUGACGCUGAUGCACGAAAGCGUGGGGAUCGAACAGGAUUAGAUACCCCUGUAGUCC